CCUACGGGAGGCAGUAGUAGGGAAUAUUGCUCAAUGGGGGAAACCCUGAAGCAGCAACGCCGCGUGGAGGAUGAAGGUUUUCGGAUUGUAAACUCCUUUUGUUAGAGAAGAUAAUGACGGUAUCUAACGAAUAAGCACCGGCUAACUCUGUGCCAGCAGCCGCGGUAAUACGGAGGGUGCAAGCGUUACCCGGAAUCAGUGGGCGUAAAGAGCGCGUAGGCGGGUUAGCAAGUCGGAUGUGAAAGCCUAUGGCUUAACCAGAGAACUGCAAUUGAAACUGUUAUUCUAGAGUAUGGGAGAGGUAGGUGGAAUUCUUGGUGUAGGAGUAAAAUCCGUAGAGAUCGAGAGGAAUACUCGUGGCGAAGGCGAGCUGCUAGAACAUAACUGACGCUGAGGCGCGAAGGCGUGGGGAGCGAACGGGAUUAGAUACCCGAGUAGUC
rnacentral:rRNA from 1 species